AUGUGAGGGCGAUCUGGCUGCGACAUCUGUCACCCCAUUGAUCGCCAGGGUUGAUUCGGCUGAUCUGGCUGGCUAGGCGGGUGUCCCCUUCCUCCCUCACUGCUCCAUGUGCGUCCCUCCCGAAGCUGCGCGCUCGAUCGAAGAGGACGACCUUCCCUGAAUAGAGGAGGACCGGUCUUCGGUCAAGGGUAUACGAGUAGCUGCGCUCCCCUGCUAGAACCACCAAACAAGCUCUCAAUCAUAUCUUUUAUAGGUAGUACUUUCUGUGCCCUGUUUAAGAAAUGUUUAUUUACACCAACAU
rnacentral:snRNA from 1 species